UACAGAGGGUGCGAGCGUUGUCCGGAAUCACUGGGCGUAAAGGGCGCGUAGGCGGCCUGAUAAGUCGGGGGUGAAAUCCUGUGGCUCAACCACAGGGCUGCCUCCGAGACUGUCGGGCUCGAGCACAGUAGAGGCAGGUGGAAUUCCCGGUGUAGCGGUGGAAUGCGUAGAGAUCGGGAAGAACAUCGGUGGCGAAGGCGGCCUGCUGGGCUGUUGCUGACGCUGAGGCGCGACAGCGUGGGGAGCAAACAGG
rnacentral:rRNA from 1 species